rnacentral:lncRNA from 1 species
CGCUACCCUCUCCGUCGCCCUGGCAAAGAGCCGGCCGCUGGCUUCCGACCGCAGGGUAGCGACUGGGUUGAGCUCCGUGUCCCCGGCGGGGGGGCCGCACGGAGUCCUCGCCAGCAGGGCAAGGUGGCACUGGAGGUGUCACCUGCGCUCGGCCCCCGGGGAACGCGCGGCAGAGCAGCCGGGCUGCGCUUCGGGAAGAGGACGAGGGGAACCACGCGUGGGUUAGACGAGAUUAAAUCCCGGAAACGCACCCCAAAUUUCCUCCCCUCCUAUUCCGCCGCGUUUGGGGGUCUCCCCUCUUCUCCCCUCGGUGCAUGUUUUCAAUGGCCCCAAGCUGUUCCACCACGCGGGGACGUUGCUUGGAAAGUGCCAGCCGCAGAGGCGAGGGGAAAAGGGGCACAGGCAGAACGGGAGCGGUGUCCGGAAGCACCAGGCAACCGGCCUGGGUCGUUGUUUAUAACAGUCAAUGCUUGUCAGCUCGUUUCUCUGCCCGGCGGGCGUUUUUUCUUGAAGGGGAGAGCAGAUCAAAGCCAGCCGCCUGAUGCAUGUAACUGCAUCGCGCUGGGCUUGGCUGCAGAAAUGCCGCAGGUUUGCCGAGACGCCCGGAAUAGCUGGCGGCCGUCGCUGCCCUGCGGGCUGCGCGGUUCGCCGGCGCGGCGCCAAGGAGGAGCGCAGCCCGUGCGGCUUGGCCCGGUGCUUCGCCCCGCGGCGUCCCGGCAUCCCCGCGGCAGCGCCCGGGGCCGACGCUCCCGGGGCUCCCCGGGACACAGGGGCUGUUUGGAAAAGGCAGCCGGAGUCAACAAGGCUGACGCCAGCCCCGCCGCCUUCAGACGGCGUUUGUGUUCGCGGGCCCGGGGCUGGCAGCGCGGCCGCGCUGGGCUGGGCUUUUUUUCCUGUUUGCUUAACCUGGGAGUUUAUAACUGCUUCUUUCUGUCCGUGCCGCCGGGGCUGAAAUCCACGUGUUUGGAGAGCUGGCGGAGGUGCCGGACCGCCCCGCGGCUGAGCACGGCGCGGGGCAGGGUGCAGCCGGAGGGGAGCGCGGGGCGGCCCCGCGCCGCCCUCCGCAAAGAGCCGAACCCGCCUGGCUAA